AUUGAACGCUGGCGGCAGGCCUAACACAUGCAAGUCGAGCGGAUGAAGGGAGCUUGCUCCUGGAUUCAGCGGCGGACGGGUGAGUAAUGCCUAGGAAUCUGCCUGGUAGUGGGGGAUAACGUCCGGAAACGGGCGCUAAUACCGCAUACGUCCUGAGGGAGAAGGUGGGGGAUCUUCGGACCUCACGCUAUCAGAUGAGCCUAGGUCGGAUUAGCUAGUUGGUGGGGUAAAGGCCUACCAAGGCGACGAUCCGUAACUGGUCUGAGAGGAUGAUCAGUCACACUGGAACUGAGACACGGUCCAGACUCCCACGGGAGGCAGCAGUGGGGAAUAUUGGACAAUGGGCGAAAGCCUGAUCCAGCCAUGCCGCGUGUGUGAAGAAGGUCUUCGGAUUGUAAAGCACUUUAAGUUGGGAGGAAGGGCAGUAAGUUAAUACCUUGCUGUUUUGACGUUACCAACAGAAUAAGCACCGGCUAACUUCGUG
rnacentral:rRNA from 1 species